rnacentral:lncRNA from 1 species
AAAACAAGAAUAACAAUAAAGUUUCUACUCUAAUUAGAAAAGAAUAAGUGCACCUAAAUGUGAGUGCUUUCUCACUAUUUUGUUAAUCCUUAUCCCAGAAUUAAUGAAGUAAAACUAAAAUGUGAAAAUGACCCUUCAUUUGGCCAUUGAGAAGAUACCUCAAAAUCUCUCAAUCUUCUCAUUCACUAGAAAAAGGUUUGAUUCAGUGGUUGACUAAUCCUCUUUAACCACCUUUGUUUGUUGCCUUGCAUUUUCC